UGUCCAAUGCGGGAAUCGAACCCGGGUCGUAGUGGUCGAAAACCAAACGGUUUAACCAGCCUUCUACCGACUCCCCCAAAAAAAAC